rnacentral:rRNA from 1 species
AUGGCUACGAUCAAAGACAUUGGCGUCGGGGCGGCGUUCAACAUAGUGACCGCCACCAUCUUCCUGCUGAUAUUCGCCUUCCUGCGGCUACAGCCCAUCAACGACAGGAUCUACUUCCCGAAAUGGUACCUCAAGGGAAUGCGGGACAGCCCCUCCUCUGCCGGCGCCGCCGUGACCAAGUAUGUCAACCUGAACGUGCGGUCGUACCUGAAGUUCUUGAGCUGGAUGCCGGCUGCUCUCAAGAUGCCCGAGGAGGAGUUGAUCGAGCACGCGGGCCUCGAUUCCGUUGUCUAUCUACGGAUAUACCUCACGGGACUGAAGAUAUUUCUCCCGAUUACGAUUCUUGCUUUUGCUGUUCUGGUCCCUGUGAACUGGACCAAUGAUACGCUAGAUGAUUUGAAGGUAGUCCACAGUGAUAUUGACAACCUUUCAAUAUCCAACAUACCUUAUGGAUCAAAGAGGUUUAUUGCUCACUUGGUUAUGGCCUAUGUAUUUACGUUUUGGACCUGCUAUGUACUUAAGAAUGAGUAUGAAAGAGUCGCGACUAUGAGGUUGCGCUUUCUUGCUUCAGAGAAACGCCGACCGGAUCAGUUCACUGUUCUUGUACGGAACAUACCACCAGACCCCGAUGAAUCAGUUAGCGAGCUUGUGGAACAUUUCUUCCUUGUCAAUCAUCCCGAUCAUUAUCUGAAGCAUCAGACAGUUUACAAUGCAAAUAAACUUGCUGAUCUGGUUGAAAAGAAGAAGAAAAUGCGGAAUUGGCUUGAUUACUACCAAAACAAGCUUGAGCGAAAAUCCAAAAGGCCAACAACUAAGACUGGCUUUCUUGGAUGUUUUGGUUCUGAAGUGGAUGCUAUUGAUCACUGCAAAUCAGAGAUCGAGAAGAUAGGAACGGAAGAAGCUGAAGAGCGUAAGAAGGUCAUGAAGGAUCCCAAGUCAAUUAUGCCAGCAUCCUUUGUUUCUUUCCGUUCACGGUGGGGUGCAGCUGUUUGUGCUCAGACACAACAGACCAGCAACCCAACCCUUUGGCUGACUGAAUGGGCUCCAGAACCUCGUGAUGUGUACUGGAGUAAUCUAUCUAUUCCCUUUGUUUCCCUCACAGUCAGGAGGUUGAUAAUUGGCGUGGCCUUUUUCUUCCUCAACUUCUUCUAUGUCAUUCCAAUAGCAUUCGUGCAGACUCUUGCAAAUCUUGAAGGCAUAGAGAAGGCACUACCAUUUCUAAAACCUUUAAUUGAAUCACCUCCCAUUAAAUCAUUCAUCCAAGGGUUUCUUCCUGGACUAGCUCUGAAGAUCUUCCUCAUAGUGCUUCCAACUAUACUGAUGUACAUGUCACAGUUUGAAGGACUAAUAUCACAGUCAUCACUAGAGCGAAGAACUGCAUCCAAGUAUUUUAUAUUCUUGUUCUUCAAUGUAUUUUUGGGGAGCAUCGUUACAGGAUCUGCUUUGGAGCAGCUUGAUACCUACCUUCAUGCGUCAGCUAAUGACAUACCAAGGAUCAUUGGUGUAGCCAUACCAAUGAAGGCAACAUUUUUCAUAACAUACGUAAUGGUUGAUGGUUGGGCUGGUGUAUCUCUUGAAAUAUUGAGAAUAAGGGCAUUUGUACUAUACCACCUGAAAAACUUUUUCUUGGUCAAGACGGAGAAGGACAGAGAAGAGGCAAUGGAUCCGGGCAGUAUCUGUUUCUACUGGUCCGAGCCUCGAAUACAGCUAUAUUUCUUGCUUGGUCUUGUGUAUGCUGCAGUGACACCGCUCUUGCUACCUUUCAUACUGGUAUUCUUUGCGCUGGGAUACGUUGUCUACCGCCACCAGAUCAUAAAUGUCUACCAUCAGCGGUACGAGAGUGGGGCGCAGUUCUGGCCCAACGUGCAUCUACGCAUAACCGUAGCCUUGAUUGCAUCGCAGCUGCUUCUCCUUGGGCUCUUAAGUACAAAAGGUUUGGAGGAGGCGACGCCAGUUCUCCUCGUUCUUCCCAUAUUAACCUUUUGGUUCCACAAGUACUGCACGCACCGGUACAAACCCGCGUUUGUGAGGAACCCGCUGCAGGAGGCGAUGAGGAAGGACACGCUGGAGCACGCGAGGGAGCCCAACUUCGACCUCAAGUCGUACCUGGCGGACUCGUACCUGCACCCGGUGUUCAAGAGCGACGACGUCGACAAGUUCUACGUCGCCGAGGACCCCGGCGCGGAGGAGGUGAUCGUGGCGACCAAGCGGCAGUCGAGGAGGACCACGCCCGUGCAGAGCAAGUAUGACGGCUCCGACAGGCUAUCCGUGCCGGACUCCAUACCCGAAAGGUAG